AGUUGAGAAGCAAUGCUGUUUCACCUCCCUGAGAGAAUUGCCUUGUUUGUGAAAUACUACAGAAAAACCUGUAUUUUCUCCAGAAAAUGAAAGGUCUUGGCCUGAGUAAAUCAAGGCAGAAAACUCACCCCCGUGAAAGCUGCAGCUCUGAGAGUGUGUGGGCAGGGCUUCAACAGAAUACCUGUGGCUGCACUUACAAAAGGCAGCCAGAAGGACCCGUCCAUUCUGGAAAGUACCUUUAGUCUGAAAGCAUUUAUUGCAGAAAAAAUAUGAGGCUUGCUGGUAGUAUUCCCAGGUGACAAAUGUGCACCCAACACCCUACAGAAAAGAAGAACCAUAAAAUAAUUAAUUAUUCCAUUGUAACUCCUGCCUGGAAAACAUCUGAAAGAAGUCACUAGAUUCAGCCCACAUUCAAGAUGAGAAAUACCAGAAGGCAGAGAACACUGAGGCUGUUUUAGAGGCUGUCAACCCCAGGGAGACAGACAGCAAAUAAGAUGCUUGGAUGUUUUCACACCACUCUGACACAUGGAUGGAAGGUUAGAAGACAACAAAGGAAUGGGCUGGGAAGGACUCCAAAAGCAGAAUCAGAGAUUAUAUCAUUCCUUGGAAAUGGAGAAAAGGAUCAAAAAAGCUGAAUAAAAGGCAAACAUGGAGGAACAGAGUUUGGAGCAAUACCCUGACUUACAUUCAGUACUGUUAAUGGCUCCAGCAUCUUGAAACAAACCAAUUUUGGAUUUUCAGCCGCUGUCCAAGAUGACGUGAACUCCAGGCUAUUGACUUUCCUCUACCUUCAAUGGAAAUUGUCAUGGAGAAUUAAGUUUUUGACAAAUCUACAGCCUAUGUGCAGGGCUUCUUCCUGGGUGUAACAAUAAGGAAUUUGGAAACUGUCUCUAGUUUUGGCCUGGAGUCACACUGCAGCUUGAGACCCUGUCAUUUCCAUCAAGCUUGAAAAUAUACAUCUUAAUAAACUGCAAUACUUCUUAAA
rnacentral:lncRNA from 1 species